rnacentral:rRNA from 1 species
UACGGGGGGAGCAAGCGUUGUUCGGAUUUACUGGGCGUAAAGGGCGCGUAGGCGGUCAGCACAAGUCAGUUGUGAAAUCUCCGGGCUUAACCCGGAAAGGUCAACUGAUACUGUGCGACUAGAGUGCGGAAGGGGCAACUGGAAUUCUCGGUGUAGCGGUGAAAUGCGUAGAUAUCAAGAGGAACACCUGAGGUGAAGACGGGUUGCUGGGCUGACACUGACGCUGAGGCGCGAAAGCCAGGGGAGCAAACGGG